AAUAGAUACCCAGGUAGUCCACGCCGUAAACGAUGAGUGCUAAGUGUUAGAGGGUUUCCGCCCUUUAGUGCUGCAGCUAACGCAUUAAGCACUCCGCCUGGGGAGUACGGUCGCAAGACUGAAACUCAAAGGAAUUGACGGGGGCCCGCACAAGCGGUGGAGCAUGUGGUUUAAUUCGAAGCAACGCGAAGAACCUUACCAGGUCUUGACAUCCCACUGACCGGUAUAGAGAUAUACCUUUCCCUUCGGGGACAGUGGUGACAGGUGGUGCAUGGUUGUCGUCAGCUCGUGUCGUGAGAUGUUGGGUUAAGUCCCGCAACGAGCGCAACCCUUGAUCUUAGUUGCCAGCAUUUAGUUGGGCACUCUAAGGUGACUGCCGGUGACAAACCGGAGGAAGGUGGGGAUGACGUCAAAUCAUCAUGCCCCUUAUGACCUGGGCUACACACGUGCUACAAUGGAUGGUACAAAGGGCUGCAAGACUGCGAAGCCAAGCCAAUCCCAUAAAACCAUUCUCAGUUCGGAUUGC
rnacentral:rRNA from 1 species